UGUCUGUGUCAUAUAGCUCCCACAGAACUGUUUUUUUCUGAUUUGAGAUUUUGCUUAAUAAAUUUGUCAAAAAAAAUCGUUAAAAUUGUUGUUUCUUAUUUUCAAUUCUAAUUCUUCAUCGGAAACAACAUCGAACGAAAAUCAUUUAAGAAACUAAAAACAAAAAUGAAUAUUAUAAAUCGAUUUGAGCACAUUUAGAUAUGCAGACUUCACCAAAGGGGACUUCAAGGGAACCGUGGAGCACCAGAGACACAGACAAGAAGAUCUUUAUCUGAGGCCUAAAAUAAUCAUACCGCAAGCAGGUGUAACAAGGAGGGGUCUCAGUGGUGAUGACUUUCUCAAAUUUACCCAAAUGGAGAAAGAAGCAGCAUGAAGGUCAAACAACACUCGAACGGUUCCAACCGUCGAGCACAUUUCAUUUGUGUACAAUUCAUUUAAUUGCGGUCCCGCCAAGUCGCAUCCCUUAACCAACCGUCGCGUUCACAAGCCAGCGAAUCUCCAGCGCAACCCGUAAGCCAUCCGGUCAAAUGCAAAAUACGAACGAAUAUGCACUCAAAGCAAGGACCAUGAACACUUUCAGGGUUUCACGUAAUUAGCUUGUGUCUCUCAGCUUUUUAGUGAGGGAGCUUCUAUUUACACAAUCACACACACACACGCACACACACCUUCAUGGACACACAUGGCCGCCGCACGACGCAGCCAAUGCCCUGGGUGGUGUUUGAUUACGUUUUGUGUUUUGGUAUUUUUCAUACAGAAGCCCAGAUAAGCGCGUCACAGCGACAAACCAGACAGACAAUGUAAAUGUUUAAACAAAAUGCUGAAAAAAAUAAAAACCAAAAAAAAAAUGUUAAGAAAAAUUUUAUUAUAAAUGUAUUUUUGUUUGCUGUUGAUAGGCCUGAUGUUGGCAACGAGAUAGCAUUUAAUAUUAUUAUUAUUGUUGUUGUUGUUGUCGUUGUUGUUAAAUGUCAUUUAAAUAACAUGAAGGCGGGUCAAAAAAGAUGCCAAACGUUCAAAAUGUGCCCCUCUUUAUUUAUAUAGGACGAUGUCCUUGAGAGAUAAAUCAGUCAAACACCCUCGAUUGUGGACGUGUGAGAGAGAAAGUGUGUGUGUGUGUGUGUGUGCGGGAGGCAC